UAGGGUUUGGAUUAGGGUUUGGUUAGGAUUUGAUUUAAGGUUUGGUUUAGGGUUUAGGGUUGGAUUAGGGUUUGGUUUAGGGUUUGAUUUAGGGUUUGGUUUAGGAUUUAGGGUUUGAAAUAGGGUUUAAUUUAAGAUUUGUUUAGGAUUUGACUAAGGGUUUAGGAAUUAUUAGGGUUUAAGAUUUAAUUAGGUUUGGUCUAAAAUUGAGUAAAAUUCAAUAGGGUUUUAACUAGAAUUAAAUUAAGGUUGAAUUGACAUAUAUUUGAGUAAAAUUUGUGAUCAUUCUAAUAUUUCUUUAAGAAUUUUAUUGUUUGUUUGAAAUUUCUUUGAGUUGUUUUGAAUUUGAUUACGUUUGUUUACCAUUAUUAUAGUCUAAUUAGAGCAUUGUUAGUAUUCUAUUUAAGAU
rnacentral:lncRNA from 1 species